rnacentral:lncRNA from 1 species
CCUCAGCUUAAGGCUCUUCCCUGAGGAUGACCAUGGCACUUCCAGCUGCAGGUCUGGGGUGGCUGCUCAUCUCUUGAACCACUGUCCUCCCAGGUAGGUAAGAUCCCUUGUGUACUGCACCCUACCACCCCAAUUUCUCCCUGGGAAGUACAUUGAUUUGUGCUAGCAACUGCUUACUGGAGGACCCAGCUGUUAGGGAGUGGACACUUUCUCUGGAUGUUGGAGCUCUCUUUAACCCAUCCUUCCCCCUCUGAAUGCUGGGAGAAGCUAAAUGCUGGCAGUCUUCCUCCAGCUUCAAAUCCAAUUAAGUUCACUGGAGAAUCUGGGCAAUGCCUCCAGAUAACAUUCCUACUUCCAGCCU